rnacentral:rRNA from 1 species
AACGAACGCUGGCGGCAUGCCUAACACAUGCAAGUCGAACGAGAUCUUCGGGUCUAGUGGCGCACGGGUGCGUAACGCGUGGGAAUCUGCCCUUUGGUUCGGAAUAACAGUUGGAAACGACUGCUAAUACCGGAUGAUGACGAAAGUCCAAAGAUUUAUCGCCAGAGGAUGAGCCCGCGUAGGAUUAGCUAGUUGGUGUGGUAAAGGCGCACCAAGGCGACGAUCCUUAGCUGGUCUGAGAGGAUGAUCAGCCACACUGGGACUGAGACACGGCCCAGACUCCUACGAGAGGCAGCAGUGGGGAACAUUGGACAAUGGGCGAAAGCCUGAUCCAGCAAUGCCGCGUGAGUGAUGAGGGCCUUAGGGUUGUAAAGCUCUUUUACCCGGGAUGAUAAUGACAGUACCGGGAGAAUAAGCUCCGGCUAACUCCGUGCCAGCCGCCGCCGUAA